rnacentral:rRNA from 1 species
CCUACGGUGGGCAGCAGUGGGGGAUAUUGCACAAUGGGGGAAACCCUGAUGCAGCGACGCCGCGUGAGGGAUGAAGGUCUUCGGAUCGUACACCUCUGUCAGCAGGGAAGAACGGUCACUGUGCUAAUCAGCAGUGAAUUGACGGUACCUGCAACGGAAGCACCGGCUAACUCCGUGCAAGCAGCCGCGGUAAUACGGCGGGUGCGAGCGUUAAUUGGAAUUACUGGGCGGAAAGCGCUCGUAGGCGGUAUGUCAAGUCAAGGGUGAAAUCCCCGCGCUCAACGUGGGAACUGCAUUUGAAACUGGCAAACAGGAGUGUGUGAGAGGAUAGUGGAAUUCAAGGUGGAGGAGUGAAAUCCGUAGAUAUCUGGAGGAACAUCAGUGGCGAAGGCGACUAUCUGGCACAUAACUGACGCUGAGGAGCGAAAGCGUGGGUAGCAAACAGGAUUAGAUACCCUUGUAGUC